CAGAAUUCUGGAUUCUACAGCUUAUGUUAAAUGGACAAUUUUGCAUAAAAGAAAAAGACAUGGCUUGCACAAAAAAACCUACCUGAAGAAGUGAUGCUAGGUCCUCAGAAGUUCUCUCACCAAGAAGUUCUCUUCAGUUGUACUAAAGGCCUACUGAGGGAUUCCCAAGGACCAUGUGAAAGGUGAUGUGCCGUACCACUGAAACCUGCAGAGCUGACCUGCACAGACACAAAUCACAGGCCUUCCUUCAAGGAGUUGCCAACUCUUGUGAAUGUGUCACAAAUUAUCAAGACAAGCGUUAUUCAGCAGUACGAGUUUUUCUGCAGUUAGCAGGAACACCACUCUGCACCAAAGCAUUGGAGAACACAGCUCAUCAACUUGAAGCAAGCAGCAAGAAGUGAA
rnacentral:lncRNA from 1 species